rnacentral:rRNA from 1 species
AUUGAACGCUGGCGGCAGGCCUUACACAUGCAAGUCGAGCGAGCGGCGGACGGGUGAGUAAAGUAUGGGAGACUGACUGCUGGAGGGGGAUAAAUACUGGAAAAGGGAGCUAAUACAGCAUACACUCAGGUGUGACCAGAUGGGAUUAGAUAGUAGGUGGGGUAAAGGCUAACCUAGGCGACGAUCCCUAGCUGGUCUGAGAGGAUGACCAGCAACACGGGAACUGAGAAACGGCCCAGACUCCUACGGGAGGCAGCAGUGGGGAAUAUUGCACAAUGGGCGCAAGCCUGAUGCAGCCAUGCCGCGUGUGUGAAGAAGGCCUUCGGGUUGUAAAGCACUUUCAGCGGGGAGGCGUUAUCCGCAGAAUAAGCACCGGCUAACUCCGUGCCAGCAGCCGCGGUAAUUC